rnacentral:rRNA from 1 species
AUUGAACGCUGGCGGCAUGCCUUACACAUGCAAGUCGAGCGCGAAAGGGGGCAACCCCGAGUAGAGCGGCGGACGGGUGAGUAACACAUCGGAACGUGCCCAGUAGUGGGGGACAACCUCGAGAAAUCGAGGCUAAUACCGCAUGCGACCCACGGGUGAAAGCGGGGGACCGCAAGGCCUCGCGCUAUUGGAGCGGCCGAUGUCCGAUUAGCUAGUUGGCGGGGUAAGAGCCCACCAAGGCGACGAUCGGUAGCUGGUCUGAGAGGACGACCAGCCACACUGGGACUGAGACACGGCCCAGACUCCUACGGGAGGCAGCAGUGGGGAAUUUUGGACAAUGGGGGCAACCCUGAUCCAGCCAUGCCGCGUGCGGGAAGAAGGCC